AUUGAACGCUGGCGGCAGGCCUAACACAUGCAAGUCGAGCGGAUGACGGGAGCUUGCUCCUUGAUUCAGCGGCGGACGGGUGAGUAAUGCCUAGGAAUCUGCCUGGUAGUGGGGGACAACGUUUCGAAAGGAACGCUAAUACCGCAUACGUCCUACGGGAGAAAGCAGGGGACCUUCGGGCCUUGCGCUAUCAGAUGAGCCUAGGUCGGAUUAGCUAGUUGGUGGGGUAAUGGCUCACCAAGGCGACGAUCCGUAACUGGUCUGAGAGGAUGAUCAGUCACACUGGAACUGAGACACGGUCCAGACUCCUACGGGAGGCAGCAGUGGGGAAUAUUGGACAAUGGGCGAAAGCCUGAUCCAGCCAUGCCGCGUGUGCGAAGAAGGUCUUCGGAUUGUAAAGCACUUUAAGUUGGGAGGAAGGGCAGUAAGUUAAUACCUUGCUGUUUUGACGUUACCGACAGAAUAAGCACCGGCUAACUCUGUGCCAGCCGCCGCCGCAG
rnacentral:rRNA from 1 species